AUUAUCUGUGACGACCCAACAGAAGUAAGUAUUGGCUGAAUAGAAGCAUAAUAUUAAAAUAUUCAUCUCUCUUGGUAUCAUAAUGCUUGACUAGCUGCAGUGUGUGAGUAUGUGUGUGUGUCUGCAUAUUAUCAAUUGAAUAGUGCACAACUACCACUCAACCUGACCUGAUUGCAGCUUUUGUUUACUGUGUGUUUGUGUUUGUGUAUGUGUAAGAUUUUAUUUUGCUCAUCGAAGUGAAGUAAAUCAGGAAUACAAGACAGAGAGCGCAUACCAUCCCCUUGCUUGAGUGAUCCCACAGUGCUCAACAUAACCGCGUCGACAACGGGCCAACACGUGGAUUCAGCGUCAACGAAAACUGAGCAGAGCUAUCCGGCGCGGAAACCACAAGGCUUGCGUUGGCAGUGCAGUUCUGAGCCCUCCUCCCCAGAGUGAACGUUAAAAGCAGUAUAGCAUGCCCGUUUCUUGGCAGUGACAUCUCACUUCCAGCCGUGACAUACUGCACUGCGCCAUCGUGUGUCCACCCGGGGAUGCUACUGCCGUUCAGUGGAAAGAAUGCGGAGGAUGUUUCGUUCCAGUCUGUUGGUGGUAGUUCGAAAUCCGAAUUCUGCAGAGUAUCUGAAGGAGAAGAAACAAAACAAUGGUGAGUUAAGUGAUUGAAUUGGUUUGAUUAAUGAGCAGAAGUUUUUUUACCUGCUGAAGCUAAAGCUAACCAUAAGCAUGUGAUGAAAAAAUUCCUUAUCUCCA